GACGAACGCUGGCGGCGUGCCUAAUACAUGCAAGUAGAACGCUGAAGGAGGAGCUUGCUUCUCUGGAUGAGUUGCGAACGGGUGAGUAACGCGUAGGUAACCUGCCUGGUAGCGGGGGAUAACUAUUGGAAACGAUAGCUAAUACCGCAUAACAGUAGAUAUCGCAUGAUAGCUGCUUGAAAGGUGCAAUUGCACCACUACCAGAUGGACCUGCGUUGUAUUAGCUAGUUGGUGAGGUAACGGCUCACCAAGGCAACGAUACAUAGCCGACCUGAGAGGGUGAUCGGCCACACUGGUACUGAGACACGGCCCAGACUCCUACGGGAGGCAGCAGUAGGGAAUCUUCGGCAAUGGACGGAAGUCUGACC
rnacentral:rRNA from 1 species